rnacentral:rRNA from 1 species
CAGCGACCCCAGGUCAGGCGGGGCUACCCGCUGAGUUUAAGCAUAUCAAUAA